UGGUAUCCUUAAUAGUAGCAAAUCUAGCUAAACCACGCGCCUCUUGAUAGCCUUUCCUCUUUUCUCUUUAUCCCUUUACUUAUACCCCAAAUAAUGGUUUUGGGUAGCUCAUGAUCUUCUGAGUUCAUAAUCUUUAUCAGAUUCAUGUUGUUCGAUUCAAACACCACCCUUUUGCACUAUACGUUUAUCACUUUCUCCAUCACUAUAAGCAACACCAUAACUUUAGCUUCAAUAGAAUUUUUCGAACCUCUUCUUCUGUUAGUUACCAAGUCAACGAUUCUUCCUUCACCGUUCAUGAUAAUCGCACCCAACCCCCAUCUUCCAUCGACCACUAAGCUCGCAUCCGAUCUACUGAGCAUCCAUCCCUGGUACAUGGAAUGCUAAAUGAAUCAGAAAGAAGAUCUCCACAACACUUCUCAACAAGCAUCUAAAAAAGAAACAAAGUCUACCAAGAUGUUGCUGAUCCAGAUCAUAAUCAAAGUCUACAUCAGAUACAAGCUGUCACGUCAAGAUCAAAUGUCAAAUAUAUGUUCGUCAGAAGAGCUAUUGCUCAUUAUUCUGAAGACAUAGUCAAAGAUCAGUUGAUAAGGAUUCAAUCUGAAAUAUAAUUUUGUUGGUGACUCUUGUUCAGAUAUCUAGACGUGUUCUUCAGAUAUGCUGUUGCACUAUUAUCUGAAGACAUUGUUUUAUUCUGAAAAGACUCAAACACUAUAGCUUGUAUUGCUCGUGGUGUCCCACUAUCAAAUCAGUUAUCUCUUAUGAUACAUAUUUGAUAUAGGAAGUUUUGCGUCGCUCUUUUAGAAAGGUUGCUGUCAUUAUUUCUGAAAGACAAAGUUCUGCUCCUAUUAAGUUCUGAUGUUCUUAUCCUAUCCCAACAAAGUAGUUUAUGAACUACUCAUUAGAUACAUCAUCAGACAAACCAAGAAAAGAAAGUGACCUCUUCCAAGCCUACUACUUAAGAAUCAAAAGUAAAUCUUUUGAAGAUAAGAUCAAGAAACUCUCUCUUGAAGAUUCAAUACAACGGUCUGCUCAACAAAUCACAAAUAUCAAGAUGCUUGUACAGUUGAAACGUUGUCUUCCAUUCCAUCACAUAAAAGCUGCAAGCUACAAGGCUAAGGAAGUAACAUGUUUUUACAUCUAACAUCUACACUUAUAUCCGUUGGAAAGUAAAUGCUGGCUUUGAAGAAAAUACUCUUAUAUCCUCUCAUCGUCUCUUUCUUUGAAGACUAUAUGUGAAGAUCAAGACUUUAAGAGAAACAUUGCUUGCUCACUAGGAAGUGAACAACCAAAGGUGUUGGUUGCCACUACAAGAAGCCAACGCUAAGGAUUGCAACUACUUAAGCCGAAGAUGCUGUAAGUGCAAAUUCCAAAAGCUAAAGAGGAUGUCCGUCGCAAAUGCUAAAACUGCAAUGCUACAACAAUGAAAAGAAGCCGAAGCUCAAUCAUUGAAGAUCAAGAAGCUGAAGCCGAAGGAUAAAGAAAAAUAAGAUAAGAUCUCUACAAGAUGCAAUUCAACAUUCAUCAUAAACAUCUUUGUAGAAUAUUGUAAAAGCAAGGAGUUGUUGCUCAUAUAUUUUUCAACAUUUUAGUGUUGCUUGUACUUAAA